rnacentral:lncRNA from 1 species
GUUGGUGCAGUUUCAUAUUAUACCAAAAAUUCUUACAACUGCUAAUUUUCAGACUGUCAGUAACCCUAUAACGACACUGGCAGGAUCUGGUAGUCGUUUUGCUCUUAAUGUGAUAACCACAGAAAAUAUGGUGAACGUAACUUCAGGACUUACCAAUACAAGCGUAUCGGCAAUUGUAUACACUGAUAGCCAGCUUGCUGUCUAUCAGGUCGACAAGGUGCUACUUCCUUUAGAUAUUUUUGCCCCUAAAGCUCUUGCUCCUGCACCAGCACCACCAAAGCCUAAAAAGGAUGAUGGUGCAGACACUCCUAUGGUUCCAAAGGAUAUUUCUGGUGCAGUAAGCUGUGUCAUGCUUAAUACUAUGCUUAUCUCCGGAGUUAUCAUAGUUGCUGCAGCUUUUCCUUUGUGACCCUGGUGUUUUGACAAGGUAUCAAUUUCUUCAUCAGUGGUUCAUGAUUCUGCUGGUUGUAAUGAACUGUGGUGUUUAACAGGUUCAUUGCUUUGAAUAAUUGUCAUUUCCUCUCAAUUCUAUUUGUGUUCUUCCAAGUUUGUAAAUAACUCUGCCUUUGAUUUUUAUUUUUAUUUAUUGGUUAUUGCUCUUAUUCUGCUUUCAUGUAUUCUGUGGAAUUGUAAUUUAUAUCAGAGAAAAAGAAAUAUAAUGUUGAUGUGCUUUGAUUUUUCAAUCCUACAUUAAUUUGGAAGCAAUCAAAUUAACAUCUUGAAAUUCACAUUUAUAUUAUAAAAUCACCUCUCUGCAUCAAAGCAUCUCCUCAAACACUGUAACAAAUGGCCAGAAAAUUUCUGCUGCUGUGAUGCAAUGUACACAAUCAAACCAUGAACCAAGUAAGCUUUAUCAACUCUCCAUUGAAGACAGUUAGAAAAACCAAAAGAUUGCGACUUAAGUUUUUCUAGACCUUGUAUCGAUGCUUGUGCCGACUCCAACAUCUUUUUAGUAUAACUGAUCGAAAGUGCCUCGUCGCUAGAAACUACAUGGUUGAUACCUUUCUGCUACAUUUGUUAAUCUUCAACUUCAGAAGUUAGCUGUAAACUAGGAAUUAAAGACAAGGUUAUAUCCCUGGAAGAAACAACAUGGUAAUGUUAUCCUUGAAAUUACACGAUUGACUUUAGACAAAUAUUGGACGAAAAUUUUUUCCAAAUUCAACUACUCCAUUUCACUUGAAACACCUGCAAACUACCAACAGUAGAUGCAACUACGAAAGGAGGAAAGCGAGAAAUCAUCAGCCAAAGGAGCAAAAAAUCCUAGCACCAUAAAUGAUUAAAAUCCACUUGGAGGAGCAUAAAAAGGUUUAAGGAUGAAGCACAUUAGUGCUACAUAACAUGAACUUAAUCAUACAAAUAUUACAGGAAAAAUUAGCAUUCAUAACCUUUUUGCAUACAGAUUCUUCUUCUUGUUAUUCCUGAAGAGUACAAGCUGAAGUUCUUCCUGAUGACAAGAAAGCACAUAAUUUAAUGAUAUCAGAAUACAUGAUUGUAUACAUGUAACAUAUGAGAGAUCAUUACAUGAACCUGGUCUAUUGGACGACAAAGCCAAUCAUAUUUUCUGGAUUUGCAGCACCAACUGGUUAUAAAAAGUAAGGUCCACUGCUUGAACCAAUUAAAGCUGUUUUGGUCCUUUGGACAGGAUUCUUGUAAUAAUUUAUCGAUCAUAAAAGAUAUGUUUUGCAAGACAUGGAACUAAAAGUAGGCAAUCUGAAUCCAGCUAAAGCUGAAACUGUUAAUUAUGAAAAGCUGCGUUGUUUUUCUUUCUUUUUGUUUCCCAAACAACAUGGUGCUUGCAUGUUAUUCUUUCAAUGCCAAUAAAUCUGUCAAUGGUUCCGUUCAGAAAACUCAGAACCAACCACACCGGAACCCAAAAUACAGGAACCAAUCCUUGUACUCUCUAUCUAUUUAUAUCUCUGUAUGCCCUAAGACUAAAAGCAACAAUAGUGGAAAAUAACUGGAAUAUCCGUUCAAGCAUAUCUAUGAGGCACGCGGAGGCAACUUGCACUCAGGAAUUCUCAAGAAUGAGCUUGUUCACAACGAAUACUCACAAGGUGCUUCAGCAGCAAGAGCCGUCAACUCCUCAUUCCCCGGUGUGUCUAGUUCUCUUUGAUUGUUAGCAGCCCCAUGAAGACAACGAGCACAAGUCACUCAGAAAAUUUCUUGGCAAUCAGUAGGAUCAUGCCAAUGGUACUAUUUUUCACCAGCAAUUCCCAAAAGAAAAAAUCCUAGAUUGAAAUAAUAGCUUAGAUCAAGUAUUUGCAGCCAUUAACCUGCUGAUUCUAACUACUGAGGCUAAGAACACAAAACGAAGGCAUAGAUUUGGUCAUGGUCACAUUGAUCACAACAUUUCUAGUGAUUUUUUUUUUCACAUUUAUCUCCUGUAUGCUUAUCUCAAAUUUCCAGUCACUUUGCAACAGAUUGUUUUUUUUUUUUUUUUGUUCUGUCCAUUAUUUUUUCCCCUGGAAAACAUGAUACAUUUGGUGAAGCAUCACACAGAAAGUUGAUUGAUAAAGCUAUCCUUCCUGUUUGACACAGACAGAGCUCAUUUCAACAAUCAUGCACAUCUUUAACACAAUCUCCCCUCCUACUUUUCGAGAAAACUAGUUGCUGCUGAAGUAGCUGCUAUGUUUGUGAAACUGAAAUUACACAUUUCACCUAAUCUCAUCCUCUCACAACCAUAAUAAAAACCCUCACUAUCCUCUCUUUGCACAUCAAGCAUUUGAACAGGUAGUAUUGGCAUAUUUCUAUUAGCAAUUCUGCAUAGCAACAAUACAUCCCAAAAACCACACAAAGAUGAAGCAACAAAUUUCCCUCUUCUCAUUUUCACUUGUCCUUCUCUUCCUCCACUGCACCCAAACUCUAUCCCAGUCUCCUACUUCAGCACCAGCAAAAGCACCUACUGCAGCCUCUGCACCUCCACCAGCUGCAACCUCGUCUGCACAGGCCUCGCCGCCCGUUAUGGUUCCUGUACAAGUUUCGAAAGGUCCUGUCAAUGUCAUUAAAAUCCUUCAGAAGGCUGGCGGCUUUGCGGUCUUUAUCCGCCUUAUAAAAUCCACUCAAGAGGACAUCCAAGUAUUCUCCCAGCUCAAUGACUCGAGAGAUGGCGUCACCAUCUUUGCCCCAACCGAUGGGGCCUUUUCAGCCAUUAUCAAAUCAGGUGUUCUUAACUCCCUAAGUGAUCAUCAGAAGAUUGAGUUGGUGCAGUUUCAUAUUAUACCAAGAAUUCUUACAACUGCCAAUUUUCAAACUGUCAGUAACCCUAUAACGACACUGGCAGGAUCUGGUAGUCGUUUCGCUCUUAAUGUGAUAACCACAGAAAAUAUGGUCAAUGUAACUUCAGGACUUACCAAUACAAGCGUAUCGGCAAUUGUAUACACUGAUAGCCAGCUUGCUAUCUAUCAGGUCGACAAGGUGCUACUUCCUUUGGAUAUUUUUGCCCCUAAACCUCUUGCUCCUGCUCCAGCACCACCAAAGCCUAAAAAGGAUGAUGGCGCAGAGAGUCCUCUGGUUCCUGAGGAUACUUCCAGUGCUGUAAGCUGCAUCCCGCUUAACUCCCUGAUCAUCUUUGGAGCUGGUAUGGUUGCUGCAGUUUUUACUUUGUGACCAUGAAGUUGAGGACAAGGUAUCUUGCGAUGAGGUCACUUCUUCACCAAGGUUCAUGAUUUUGCUCGAUAGAAUGAACUGUGAUGUUCACGAGGUUGUGCUUUGAAUAAAUGUCUUCUUCUCUCAAAUUUGUUUGUGUUUUUUCAAGUUUGUGAAGAACCUUCCAUUUAACUAUGGUUUUUCAUUGUUUAUUCAUCAUUUUUUUCUUCUUUUUCCCCUUCUUUUGUGUGUUAUUUGGGAUGAUAAUUUAUAUUAGAAAAAUAAAUUCUACGCUUAUUGUGCUUUAUUUUGUCAAGAUUACAUUAAUUUGGAUUCAAUUAAGCUUGCUUCAAAUUUUAAUCUCUAGUGUAUUAUAUGAAAAUUGCUACUAACUCCUCCGAAGAAAAAUAUCAGUACAAAUAAAAACUCACCUCUUCAAUCUCUCUCUUUGGUAUGGAAAACGCUACCGACCACUUCAAACAUAUACGUUCUGCAUGCAUUUUCUACUUACGCGACCGGAACUAAUAUACAGCAGUAUAUAAUCUGAUGUGAUCCUAGAAAACAUAAGGCUAUAGAUGUUAUGUGAAUCAAUAAUUUAAAACUCAAGAUGAAAACUAAUGAUGUAAAACUCAAACUCAAUUCAUGCUUGGCUGCGUCAGCAAGUUGAUCAAUGAAUCAAUAGUAACCAAAGAGGAAGACUGAAGGUGUGUGUGAGGGUUUUACAGGUAAGUGAAUGGAAUACAUGUGAGAAUAGUUCACCGCAUGAUCCAGUGGUGGCUUAAGCAGACGCAAAUUUUGGGGCUGUAUAGAGAAUAAUCUUGACUUCUGGAGUUAGUUAAUCCGGAUGCAGGUUUCCUUUACGCCAUUUACAAACUGAGUUCUCUGUUAGAAAUAGAGAGGGAAAACAAGAUCAGAUACGCUAAUGCAUAGUAGAGAUAGUGUACAAGGAAAGUCAGAGUGUACAUUAACAUAUUGCAAUAUAGAGAUUGUAAAUUGUGGAAGUGAUACCAGUAUUAUUAGGAUUUGAGGGACUACGCAGCUUAUAAGCUCCAAGUCCCACCUUUUUCUUUAAAAGACGCCUUUUUAAGAUAAAAUUCACCGUGAGACCGUAGGGAUAAUACCUCUUAAGAGGCCAGCCAUAUAUUAGAUUUGGGCUAACAUCAUCAUUGACGCCCUUUAUGGGAACGUAGGCUAUGUGCUCUCGGCUCCCAAGCCCCUUGACUAGAAGGCUAUGAUGAUACCAGCAUUCCAUCAGCUAAGAGUCGAGGACAUAGGCAGCUCAUAAGCUCUAGGUAUCACCUCUCUCCUCAAGAGGUGCAUUUUCAAAACAAAGCACGCUACGGCCCGAACACGAGACAAUAUAUCUUGAGGUACCCGCCAUGCGGCGGGUUUGAGCCAAUACCAUCGGUAAGGAAACUGCACAAGAUAGAAGAUACUGCACAAUGCAAGCCAUGAUCUAAGACAUGCUUUAAGGAUUAGAUGCAGUGUUAGUUAAAGGACUUGCUUGGAGCACCGAGUCUACAGAAUUAUGUAAAUUCUCGUAGAAUCAGCAGAAAUCCGCGACACAAAUCUGCACAUAUCUGAUCUGCCAUCUUCCCUUUUCUCUUUAUUGCUAACAUUUGGAACAUGCUACUCACUUUAAAUAUGGUAGAGUCAUGUUCUUUAUAAGAGAAGGAUUCUUCAACACAAUAUACCUUGCACUCUUCAGGAUUUUAAAUUUCCCAUCACCUUUAGUAUCAGCAUCACAAAAUGCCAGUCAAGUAAUCCAAAAGAGAAAAGAAGCAUCAGAUAUUUCAAUCAAAUAAUCAUGAAAAAACAGCUUCGACAAGGCCACCAAUUGUCACAUUAUCACAAUCAUCUCGUCGACAUCAUCUGAUAGUUCCAGAUCCGAUUCUUGAAAGUUGACAGUACCAUCUCCAAUAACUAUCAAAUAUUUUAAGUUGACGAGGCAGAACAUACAUUUGAAAAAACAUAGUCGCUGCUAAAAUCAUUAGUUUUGGUUAACAACACAUCCUUCUUAGUUCUAUUAUUCAAUAAAUUAUCAAACUAUAGCCACAUCUGGGGUUUGUGAAUGUGGGAUUAUUAUCUGAAAGAAAAGAAACACAGAAAAGAAAAAACUUUAAAACAUCAAGGACUGAAUGCAAGAGAAGGAAAUGGUAAAACAAAGAAUUGCAGUUCAUCUCCUUUCUAUUCAAUAAAACCAGUUUGUCUUGGAUCAUAUAAUCUGAUAGAAACUGCAGAAAAAUUCUCUCCUUAUUAGUAAUUUAUUCAGGAGAAUCUGCGAAAAGCUUUACGUGAGUAACUUUCAAUAUUUAUGGUUCAAAUGACCCUAAUUCGAAAAGCUUGUUCCAGGGCUCGCACCGCUAUAUAAGCCUAACUUGUGAGCUAUUUCAGUAAUAAUUAUUCCUUAAGCCAUGUGUUCAUAGGGGUUAAACUCACCUCAUGUCCCUGUACCAUGUCGAUUUGGUUAAAUCAACUUCUUAAUGAAAAAAGGAUAGAAUUAUCAUCUGCAUUGGACCAUUUUCAACCCAUUUUUAGUGGAUCAAAACAAGUGUCGACAUCUAAUUGGCCAGCAAUUGGUCACCAGACACCAUUCAGUCUAAAAUGCUUCAAUCUAUGUGGUGAAGGGGUCAAUUAUAGCCCUUUUCAUGUAGAAUGGUUUAUCUGAUUAAAUCGGUACGAUACAAUGAUGUAUGAUGAUUUUAAUCUUGUGUUCAUAUUAUUUUUCAUUUUGAUGCUCCGACUUUCUCAUUCAAUGAUAGAAAAUGCUCCAUUCGAACUAGUAAAAGAUGUCUGCAACUAAUCCAAGGCAUUGAUGGCCAAAAUAUAUGGAAUUUUGGAAACAAUGAUGCAUGUGUUGGUAUUCUUCAAAUGGAUGCUAGAACUGCCUCAGCAAGUAUCACCACCCUUGCUAAAAUCAGUAUCCAGUUAGCAAUUUCCAGCACAAAAUACACAAAUCUUAAUAAAGAGCUUGCUCGAUACAACAUCUGCUGCUUUACAAAAAACUCUUCAGGCUUUUUUCUCCUCAUACGAAUCUGUUAUGAGAAAUUUAAAAGCUGUUGCUUUUGUGGCCAAGUGAAGAUGAACUUAAAACAGCAAGCUAUGCUGCCAUGACUACUACACAGAUUAUCUCAAGGAAUGUGAAGAUGAAUUGGCAAGCAACAAGGCUCACAUCAUGAAACUUACAACCAGAAUCCACCAUGCACGCCUGUGCUUAACGUUGCAGAUUUGCUCAUAACCCAUCUUCAACUUGUAUCUCCUGAUCAGCCAUAGCUCAAUAUACAAAGAUAUGCAAGGACUUAACCUUUAACAAGGAAGGUUCCAUUGAUGGUUUUUACAUGCAAGGUUUAAUCCUUAUUUGAUCUGGCCUGUCCAAUCUAAAUUAUUUUCUAGUAUCUCAUAAAAAAAAUCUGAGGUAAGGACUUCUGCGUAUCCCUUUUCUCUGAAAGAAACUUUUCCUUAACUUAUCAAACAUCCUUGAAAUUUUUAUCUAUAUCAUAUAUAAUACAUGUUAAGUGCUAAUUCAAAGAAAAAUACAGGUAAAAACACACUUCUUAUACAUUUUAUAUAUUACAUUGCAAAAUUUAUGAUGCUGUGACGCAAUGUACCAUGCAAAACAUGAGCCGAACUAAGCUUUACCAGUUUUGCAUUAGAAAAGUUUACGAUGGCAAAUAAGCUGCACCUUGUAGAUCAGAUCUUGGCUGCACUUAGGAGUUUGUAACCUCAAGUCUGUCUAGCUCUUGUAUUGACACAUGCGAAUUCGAGCAUCUCUCAAAUAGAGUUGAUCCAAAACGAGCGGAUUACCUUUGCUAGAAAUGACGUGAUUGAUACCUUUCUGCUACACUUCUGAAUCUUCAACUUCAGUGCUUAACACGAAGCUAGGAAAUGCCAAGGUUAUAUCCCUGGAAAGAGAAAAAAUUGCAAAGCCUAAAGUUAAAACACUUGAAUUGCGGAGACACAUUCUAGAUUGAUCUUACUCAAGUAAUAAGAGGUAGGUGCAGUGUGCCUGUGCACAAUUUACAAAAUGAGUAUGGAACUCGGUCCUCACUUUAAAUAAGGUAGAGUCAUGUUCUUUAUAAGAGAAGGGUUCUUAGACACAAAUUCCUUCCACUCUUCAGGAUCAAUUUUUCCAUCACCUUUUAAAUCUGCAUCACUAAAUGUCUGUGGAAAGAAAGGGGAAAAUAGAAUAAUUAACCAAAUAAGAAUGAAACAAUGGAAUUUGACACAGCAGAACCAAAUUGUACCUUGUCAACAAUUGUUUCAACAACAUCAUCAGACAGCAAUAGAUCCGAUUCAUGCAGAAUUGCCAAUACCAUCUCCUUCAACUGUUUAAUAACUUCAGCUCGUGAGGUAGAAUAUACAUUCAGAAAUACACACACACACACACUGCUGGUAAUCAUUAUUUCCUUUUUUCAUCAAAUUCCCCUUAAUUAUCUCAUGGUAUAAAUUGUCGAACUUAGCCACUUCUGGAAUCAUAUAUUUUUACCAGAAAGAAUAAAAAAGCAAACCUUAAAACAUGUCUGCAAUUAUCAGCUUGCUGCGUGUUAUGGUAUGUAAGAGAAAGAAAUGGCAAAGAGAAGAAUUGCAGAACUCACCUCCUCUCGUUCAAUGAAACCAGUUUGCCUUAAAUCAUAUAAUCUGAAAGUAACUGCAAGAAACUCCCCCUUGAUUAGUACAUUAUUAAGGAGCAGGUGCAAAAAACGUUUAAGUGACAUGCAGAAAAAAAACGUGUCUGUGUCUGAACUCAAGCCCCUACUUGUAUAUCAUCCUAGAGGAACAUUAGGCUUACAAUGGAUCUUGUCUUCAACUGGUGCAUUUGGAUGAAAGACACCCAAAGAUCGAACAAAUUCUCCAAACUCAAUUACUCCAUUGCGCUUGACAUCAAAUAAAUCAAAAAUCUGCAGAAGUGAAGCAAAGAGAUGCAACUUAGAAAGAAGGAAAAAUGACACUGCUAUAUUAUACGAAAAGGUUGCACUACAUACCCUGUCUGCGAAAAGGUUCCUCCUGUUUUUGUUCCUGAAGAGUGCAAGCUGAAGUUCUUCCUGAUGAGAAGGAGACAUUUAAAUGAGAUUACACAUGUUAUUAAUUAAGUCAUGAUUGUGAACAUAAUUAGAUUAACAUACUUGGAUUAACAUACUUGGAUUAUAUACCUUGUGAAUAAGCCCAUCAUCAAUGACUGAACUGCUUAAUUUCUUAAAGAGUUCGUAUAAAGCCUCUACUUCGCUAACAGUAACUGCAAUAAAAAAAAUAUUUCGCAUUUCAACAGCCAAUCACACAUAAUUAACAGUUGUUUUCAACAUGCUACAAAAUAAAAACUUUAGGAACAGGAUCUAGCUGAAACUCAAACUAAUGAUUAGGAAAAGCAGCAUUGUUUUCCUUUCUUUUCUUUUUCCAUGACAACAUGACUUUUAUGCUUCUUAUGCCUUUCAGUGCCAAUGGAUCUGUCAUUGUUGUAGUGACCAACCACACCAAAGGUU